rnacentral:rRNA from 1 species
GAUGAACGCUGGCGGCGUGCCUAAUACAUGCAAGUCGAGCGAAUGGAUUAAGAGCUUGCUCUUAUGAAGUUAGCGGCGGACGGGUGAGUAACACGUGGGUAACCUGCCCAUAAGACUGGGAUAACUCCGGGAAACCGGGGCUAAUACCGGAUAACAUUUUGAACCGCAUGGUUCGAAAUUGAAAGGCGGCUUCGGCUGUCACUUAUGGAUGGACCCGCGUCGCAUUAGCUAGUUGGUGAGGUAACGGCUCACCAAGGCCACGAUGCGUAGCCCACCUGAAGAGGUGAUCGGCAGCGCUAGAACUGGGCCACGGCCCAGACUCCUGCGGGAGGCAGCAGUAGGGAAUCUUCCGCAAUAGACGAAAGUCUGACGGAGCAAAGCCGCGUGAGUGAUGAAGGCUUUCGGGUCGUAAAACUCUGUUGUUAGGGAAGAACAAGUGCUAGUUGAAUAAGCUGGCACCUUGACGGUACCUAACCAGAAAGCCACGGCUAACUACGUGCCAGCCGCCGCGGUAA